rnacentral:rRNA from 1 species
GAUGAACGCUGGCGGCGUGCCUAACACAUGCAAGUCGAGCGGAAAUACCUGAACGUAUUCGUACGGGAGGGUAUUUUAGCGGCGGACGGGUGAGUAACACGUGAGUAACCUGCCUUUUGCAGGGGAAUAACAUUGGGAAACCAGUGCUAAUACCGCAUAACAUCGCCGGAUGGCAUCAUCUGGCGAUCAAAGGAGAAAUCCGGCAGAAGAUGGACUCGCGUCCGAUUAGCUAGUUGGCAGGGUAAAGGCCUACCAAGGCAACGAUCGGUAGCCGAACUGAGAGGUUGAUCGGCCACAUUGGGACUGAGACACGGCCCAGACUCCUACGGGAGGCUG